rnacentral:rRNA from 1 species
AGAGUUUGAUCAUGGCUCAGGACGAACGCUGGCGGUGUGCUUCACACAUGCAAGUCGAGCGGAUUUUAGUAGUAGCUUGCUAUUACUAAAGUUAGCGGCGGACGGGUGAGUAAUACGUAGGAAUCUGCCUCAAGGCGGGGGACAACGGAUCGAAAGAUCCGCUAAUACCCCAUAUGCGGGAAACCGUGAAAGGAGUAACCCGCCUAGAGAUGAGCCUGCGUCCGAUUAGCUAGUUGGCGGGGUAAUAGCCCACCAAGGCAACGAUCGGUAGUUGGUCUGAGAGGAUGAUCAGCCACAAUGGGACUGAGACACGGCCCAUACUCCUACGGGAGGCAGCAGUGGGGAAUUUUACGCAAUGGGCGAAAGCCUGACGUAGCGACACCGCGUGAGCGAAGAAGCCUUUUGGGGUGUAAAGCUCUGUCAGCUGGAACGAACACAAUGACGGUACCAGCAGAGGAAGCAUCGGCUAACUACGUG